GACGAACGCUGGCGGCGUGCUUAACACAUGCAAGUCGAACGGAAAGGCCCUGCUUGCAGGGUGCUCGAGUGGCGAACGGGUGAGUAACACGUGGGUGAUCUGCCCCUUACUUUGGGAUAAGCCUGGGAAACUGGGUCUAAUACUGGAUAGGACCAUGCUGUAGGUGGUGUGGUGGAAAGAUUUUUUCGGUAAGGGUUGAGCUCGCGGCCUAUCAGCUUGUUGGUGGGGUAAUGGCCUACCAAGGCGUCGACGGGUAGCCGGCCUGAGAGGGUGGACGGCCACAUUGGGACUGAGAUACGGCCCAGACGCCGACGGGAGGCAGCAGUGGGGAAUAUUGCACAAUGGGCGCAAGCCUGAGGCAGCGACGCCGCGUGGGGGAUGACGGCCUUCGGGUUGUAAACUCCUUUCAGCCAUGACGAAGCCUCUUUUGGGGUGACGGUAGUGGUAGAAGAAGCACCGGCUAACUACGUG
rnacentral:rRNA from 1 species